rnacentral:rRNA from 1 species
UCCCGAUUAGCUAGUUGGUGAGGUAAAGGCUCACCAAGGCGAUGAUCGGUAGCUGGUCUGAGAGGACGGCCAGCCACACUGGGACUGAGACACGGCCCAGACUCCUACGGGAGGCAGCAGUGGGGAAUUUUGGACAAUGGGCGAAAGCCUGAUCCAGCCAUGCCGCGUGCGGGAAGAAGGCCUUCGGGUUGUAAACCGCUUUUGGCAGGAACGAAAAGGCGCGGGCUAAUACCUCGCGCUAAUGACGGUACCUGCAGAAUAAGCACCGGCUAACUACGUGCCAGCAGCCGCGGUAAUACGUAGGGUGCGAGCGUUAAUCGGAAUUACUGGGCGUAAAGCGUACGCAGGCGGCUUGGUAAGACAGAUGUGAAAUCCCCGGGCUUAACCUGGGAACUGCAUUUGUGACUGCCUGGCUCGAGUCUGUCAGAGGGGGGUGGAAUUCCACGUGUAGCAGUGAAAUGCGUAGAGAUGUGGAGGAACACCGAUGGCGAAGGCAGCCCCCUGGGAUGAGACUGACGCUCAUGUACGAAAGCGUGGGGAGCA